CCAUAUCUGAAUACAUAGGAUAUGGCUGGGAACCGGAUGAAGUGAAACAUCUCAGUAAUCCGAGGAAAAGAAAACAAAUGUGAUUUCCUAAGUAGUGGCGAGCGAACGGGAAAUAGCCUAAACCAUACAUAUGUGAUAGCCCGGAAGCGUUGUAUGUAUGGGGUUGUGGGAUCUUAAUAGAGACUGUUUCGGAGGUUUCGGAGAGUUACAAAACUGAUUAUUAAUCAAACAAUCUGGAAAGUUUGGCCAUAGAGGGUGAUAGCCCCGUAGAUGAAAAUAAUGAGUCUCUCUUUUAAGACACCCGAGUACUGCGGAACACGAGAAAUUCUGUGGGAAUUAGU
rnacentral:rRNA from 1 species